UAGGGAAUCUUCGGCAAUGGACGAAAGUCUGACCGAGCAACGCCGCGUGAGUGAAGAAGGUUUUCGGAUCGUAAAACUCUGUUGUUAGAGAAGAACAAGGACGUUAGUAACUGAACGUCCCCUGACGGUAUCUAACCAGAAAGCCACGGCUAACUACGUGCCAGCAGCCGCGGUAAUACGUAGGUGGCAAGCGUUGUCCGGAUUUAUUGGGCGUAAAGCGAGCGCAGGCGGUUUCUUAAGUCUGAUGUGAAAGCCCCCGGCUCAACCGGGGAGGGUCAUUGGAAACUGGGAGACUUGAGUGCAGAAGAGGAGAGUGGAAUUCCAUGUGUGGCGGUGAAAUGCGUGGAUAUAUGAAGGAACACCAGUGGCGAAGGCGGCUCUCUGGUCUGUAACUGACGCUGAGGCUCGAAAGCGUGGGGGCAAACAGG
rnacentral:rRNA from 1 species